AUACGAACAAUGAGGGGCAACCCUGAUGCAGCCAUGCCGCGUGUGUGAAGAAGGCCUUCCGGUUGUAAAGCACUUUCAGUUGUGAGGAAAGGUUAGUAGUUAAUACCUGCUAGCUGUGACGUUAACAACAGAAGAAGCACCGGCUAACUCCGUGCCAGCAGCCGCGGUAAUACGGAGGGUGCGAGCGUUAAUUCGGAAUUACUGGGCGUAAAGCGCACGCAGGCGGUCUGUUAAGCUAGAUGUGAAAGCCCCGUGCUCAACGUGGGAAGGUCAUUUAAAACUGGCAGACUAGAAUCUCGGAGAGGGGAGUGGAAUUCCAGGUGUAUGUCGGUGAAAUGCCUAGAGAUCUGGAGGAACAUCAAUGGCCUAAUGCCACUUCCUUGGCCAAAGACUGACGCUCAUGUGCGAAAGUGUUGGGUACCGAACAGGAUUAGAUACCCUGGUAGUCCACACCGUAAACGCUGGAUAUAAGCUGUCUGGGGUUAACGCUUUGCGAUAGCACCGUUAAUCGCCCUGAGUGGCCCGCCAGGUGAGUAACGAUUGCGGGGUCAAAACUCGAGCCAAUUGGUUAAUCUUCCCGUUAAC
rnacentral:rRNA from 1 species